GUAUUUGCUUUGGAACUACAUAUACUUGAUUGGAAUGGUACAGAGAUCAUUAACAUGGCUUUACACAAGGAUAACCAGCAAAAUUAUGAAGUGUUCCCCAUUUUU